ensembl:snRNA U6 U6 spliceosomal RNA
GCGCUCCCUUCGGCAGCCCGUAUACUAAAAUUGGAACAAUACAGAGAAGAUUAGUAUGACUGCUGCCCAAGGAUGACAUGCAGAUUCAUGAAGUGUUCCAUAUAUUU